AUUGACUGUAUAUAAUCUGGUCUCAUGAGUUAAAUUCCAUGAAGAAUGGCUACCACUAACACAGUGGUUCUCAACAUGGGGUCCCCAGAUGUUUUUGGCCUACAACUCCCAAAAAUUCCAGCCAGUUUACCAGCUGUUAGAGUUUCUGGGAGUUGAAGGCCAAAAACAUAUGGGGACCCCAGGUUGAGAACCACUGCACUAACCUGCACUAAGUUCAUAGACAUACUUCUGUAUAAAUCAACCUCAUUUAUAAGUCAACUAGCUGUGCUCAGCCACGUGCUGCUGUGGCUAAGUCUGGUGGUGUUGAUCAGUCUACAUUAGGUUGUAUUUAUGCUGUGACCUCCACCCUUCUUUAUACUCACAUUAGUAGUAGUAUUUGAAGUCUGUUACCUUCUUCAAUUUUUGUGUUGAUUGAUAAUUGCUUGAGAUCCCUGUUGUCUUUGGUUUGUUGUUAAUCGUGAUGUCUGAUUCUGCUGAGUGCGGUUUAUAUUUUUAUUGUGGUACAAUAGUCUUUUUUUUUUUUGCCUGUGUAGGUGUUAUUGUUAUUGUAGUGGUCAUGAAGGUUGGAUAAGUUAGAUGCUACUGUAUUGUUGUGAGUUUUGUGGGUCCGGAUUGUGGUUUUGUGGUGUGGUUGUGUUGUUACAACUGGGAGGCAAGGCUUUUGCAUUGUGUUGUCAAGUUUUGUAUUUCUGGGGCAUUUAGUUGUGUGCCAAAUUUCGUAUUUCUGGGACGUUUAGUUGUGUUGUUAUAGUCAUGAUGCGUUGUUGUGAGUUUUGUGGGUCCAGAUUGUGGUUUUGUGGUGUGGUUGUGUUGUUACAACCGAGAGGGAAGGCUUUUGCAUUGUGUUGCCAAGUUUCAUAUUUCUGGGGCGUUUAGUUGUGUUGUUAUAGUCACGAUGUGUUGUUGUGAGUUUUGUGGGUCCAGAUUGUGGUUUUGUGGUGUGGUUGUGUUGUUACAACCGGGAGGGAAGGCUCUUGCAUUGUGUUGACAAGUUUUGUAUUUCUGGGACGUUUUGUUUUGUUGUUAUAGUCACUGUGCAAACAACUUUAUCCUUUUAUAUAUAUAGAAAGGAAGUCCUGGGCUGAAAUUAUGGAUUUUGAUAUGCCCGAUGAAUAAUCAACCCUGGCUCUGGCUACCACCAUUUUCCCUACCAGGUAUUCAUUAAGGCCAGAAGUAGGGUCAUGGCAGGGAGAGUAGAAAAGGUUGGGGCUUCUUUUAGAUUGUCUGGGAUAGACUAAGCUCUCCUUUUUGAAAGCACUUAAAGUGUAGCACUUGCAUUAACUUUUGGAUUAUGGUUACUAUCAUACACAAUUUUAAAAAAAUGUGUUUACCAAUAGUGAUCUUGCCUAGACCCAGGUUGUUCGGGGUUAAAUUUUUGACUAAAAUGUCUAGCCUUAAAUAUCUCUAAUAUUCCAUUUGGAAACAGCCAAGAAUCUUAUUAGCUGAAACUAGACAUUGCAGACUUCUGUGGCUGGCAUUUAAAUUGUAGAGUUACUAGGGUUGCCACAUGAAAUAAUGGGGAAGGCCCCUGUUUGUCUGAUGGUUGUAUUGAAGACAUGAUUUCAGGAGGCAUUGCUCUUCACUUUGAUACAAUGGUAUAGAACAUGUUUGGCUUGUAUAGGGAGUAAUUCUCUUACAAUUCUCUCAUAUUUUAAUUAAAAUAAGUAUGACUUUGCUUGUAGUAGUUGAGUUAUACCAGCUUUGAGAAAGAAAAGGCUUUAAAGAAAAACCAACAAAAAUAUUUUUAAAAUCUGCCAAUGUAAAACAAAGGCUUUGCUAUGUUUGGCAUCUUGGUACUAAUUCCUCCCCCCCCCCCUUUUUUUUUUUUGUUUUGGUUAACAUCCUACUUCUUAAAAAUCUUUACUUCAAAAUAUAUCUUGUAGAUUUCGGUGUGGCACUUAUUUCCAGUUUGGUGAACUUCGAUCUGGGAUAAGGAUUAGUUCUUUACUUUCAAUACUCCACUGGAAACUGUUAAUUGGCAUACUUACAUGUCCCUUCUAUUCUGUCUAAUCAUGGUUCCACUGCCUUUGACAACUCUGACUCGUUUCUUUUGAAUUUUAACAAGUGUAACC
rnacentral:lncRNA from 1 species